rnacentral:rRNA from 1 species
UACGGGGGGGGCAAGCGUUGUUCGGAAUUACUGGGCGUAAAGGGCUCGUAGGCGGCCAACUAAGUCGGAUGUGAAAUCCCCAGGCUUAACCUGGGAACUGCAUCCGAUACUGGAUGGCUUGAAUCCGGGAGAGGGAUGCAGAAUUCCAGGUGUAGCGGUGAAAUGCGCAGAUAUCAGGAGGAACACCGGUGGCGAAGGCGGGUCUCUGGGCCGAUACUGACGCUGAGGAGCGAAAGCGUGGGGAGCGAACAGG